GGGUCACAGGGGAUCCACGGGGUCUACUUUUCCUCAUAGGCAUUCUAGUGGUACAACCAGAGCUUGUUCUGUUUGUGGUAGAUUUCAUUCUGGAACUUGUUUUAAUGAUGACAGAGAGUGCUUUCAAUGUGGUCAAAAGGGUCACAUUAAGAAGAAUUGUCCUAUACCUACAACACAACCAUCAUCUAGUCGUGCAUCAGCACCUGUAGCUUUAGCAUCUUCUCAUUCCCCUUCUGCACCUGUGAGACAAGAGGGAAAUUCUUUUGUUCGGGGUUCAGGAGCAUCUCAACAUGGAGGUAGAGGACCUGGAGGUAGAGGUCAGUCACAAGUAGGGAGAGGUCAUGCUCGGGUUUUUGCUUUGACCCGACAAGAUGCUCAGGC
rnacentral:lncRNA from 1 species